rnacentral:tRNA from 1 species
GCCGGUGUGACGGAAUCGGCAGACGUACCAGACUCAAAAUCUGGCGAUGGCAACAUCGUGUGGGUUCAAGUCCCACCACCGGCACCA